CGUGCCGCUCUGCAUCAGUGAACUGAAGAGUCAUACGUUGGACAGCUUUGUUCAAAGGGUUCCAGGAUGUUCGGUUGUUCAAGCAGCUGAGUUCACAAACAGCAUUUUAAAUAUUCUACCUCAGAUUUGAAACUUAUAAUUUGAAUGUAUAAAAGGCAGUAUUCUCUGGUUUGCCUUAACUUUUCUAUUUAAAGCUAAUGAAUAUUUUUUUACUCUUUUGUGUUAGCACUGAAAAAAGCAAGGAAUUUGUUGCACCUUAGACUUAGAUUUUAUUGUAUAAAAUGCAGUAUUUACUAUUUUGUCUAAACUUGUUUUAUUUUUAAAUCAAGUAUUUUCUUUAUUUAUCUUUUCUGUUUGAACUUUAGAACAAAAAAGCAAGAGAUUUGCUGUACUACUGAUUUGAAACUUUACUGGAGGUUUAAUGUUAUUGCGUUAUUAUCAAUAAAAUGUUAGAGUUAAAUGA